UAGAGAGUCAGAAGCUCUAUAUGCGUAGUGU
rnacentral:piRNA from 1 species